rnacentral:rRNA from 1 species
GACGAACGCUGGCGGCGUGCUUAACACAUGCAAGUCGAACGAUGAAGCUACAGCUUGCUGUGGUGGAUUAGUGGCGAACGGGUGAGUAAUACGUGAGUAACCUGCCCUUGUCUUUGGGAUAAGCCUGGGAAACUGGGUCUAAUACCGGAUAUUCUGCUUUCAUCGCAUGGUGGGGGUUGGAAAGGGUUUCUGGAUAGGGAUGGGCUCACGGCCUAUCAGCUUGUUGGUGGGGUGAUGGCCUACCAAGGCGUCGACGGGUAGCCGGCCUGAGAGGGUGACCGGCCACAUUGGGACUGAGAUACGGCCCAGACUCCUACGGGAGGCAGCAGUGGGGAAUAUUGCACAAUGGACGCAAGUCUGAUGCAGCGACGCCGCGUGGGGGAUGAAGGCUUUCGGGUUGUAAACUCCUUUCAGUACAGAACAAGGCCUUUUUGGUUGAGGGUAUGUGCAGAAGAAGCGCCGGCUAACUACGUGCCAGCAGCCGCGGUAAUACGUAGGGUGCGAGCGUUGUCCGGAAUUACUGGGCGUAAAGGGCUCGUAGGUGGUUUGUCGCGUCGUCUGUGAAAUUCCGGGGCUUAACUCCGGGCGUGCAGGCGAUACGGGCAUAACUUGAGUACUGUAGGGGUAACUGGAAUUCCUGGUGUAGCGGUGAAAUGCGCAGAUAUCAGGAGGAACACCGAUGGCGAAGGCAGGUUACUGGGCAGUUACUGACGCUGAGGAGCGAAAGCAUGGGUAGCGAACAGGAUUAGAUACCCUGGUAGUCCAUGCCGUAAACGGUGGGCGCUAGGUGUGAGGGUCUUUUCACGACUUUCGUGCCGUAGCUAACGCAUUAAGCGCCCCGCCUGGGGAGUACGGCCGCAAGGCUAAAACUCAAAGGAAUUGACGGGGGCCCGCACAAGCGGCGGAGCAUGUGGAUUAAUUCGAUGCAACGCGAAGAACCUUACCUGGGCUUGACAUACACCAGAUCGCUGCAGAGAUGUAGUUUCCCUUUGUGGCUGGUGUACAGGUGGUGCAUGGUUGUCGUCAGCUCGUGUCGUGAGAUGUUGGGUUAAGUCCCGCAACGAGCGCAACCCUUACAUUUAGUUACUAACAGGUUAAGCUGAGGACUCUAGAUGGACUGCCGAUGACAAAUCGGAGGAAGGUGGGGAUGACGUCAAAUCAUCAUGCCCUUUAUGUCCUGGGCUACACACGUGCUACAAUGGUCGGUACAAAGAGAAGCUAAAUAGCGAUAUCAAGCAAACCUCAAAAAACCGAUCCCAGUUCGGAUUGAUCUCUGCAACUCGAGAUCAUGAAGCCGGAGUUGCUAGUAAUCGCAGAUCAGAAUGCUGCGGUGAAUGCGUUCCCGGGUCU